rnacentral:lncRNA from 1 species
AGUGAAAUAUCUGUUACUUUGUCCAGAUCCCCUUUCAAGAUAUCAAUGGGAGGAUUACUGUCUCUAAAUCC